rnacentral:rRNA from 1 species
AAAUUGAAGAGUUUGAUCAUGGCUCAGAUUGAACGCUGGCGGCAGGCCUAACACAUGCAAGUCGAGCGGUAGCACAGAGAGCUUGCUCUCGGGUGACGAGCGGCGGACGGGUGAGUAAUGUCUGGGAAACUGCCUGAUGGAGGGGGAUAACUACUGGAAACGGUAGCUAAUACCGCAUAACGUCGCAAGACCAAAGUGGGGGACCUUCGGGCCUCAUGCCAUCAGAUGUGCCCAGAUGGGAUUAGCUAGUAGGUGGGGUAACGGCUCACCUAGGCGACGAUCCUAGCUGGUCUGAGAGGAUGACCAGCCACACUGGAACUGAGACACGGUCCAGACUCCUACGGGAGGCAGCAGUGGGGAAUAUUGCACAAUGGGCGCAAGCCUGAUGCAGCCAUGCCGCGUGUGUGAAGAAGGCCUUCGGGUUGUAAAGCACUUUCAGCGGGGAGGAAGGCGAUAAGGUUAAUAACCUUGUCGAUUGACGUUACCCGCAGAAGAAGCACCGGCUAACUCCGUGCCAGCAGCCGCGGUAAUACGGAGGGUGCAAGCGUUAAUCGGAAUUACUGGGCGUAAAGCGCACGCAGGCGGUCUGUCAAGUCGGAUGUGAAAUCCCCGGGCUCAACCUGGGAACUGCAUUCGAAACUGGCAGGCUAGAGUCUUGUAGAGGGGGGUAGAAUUCCAGGUGUAGCGGUGAAAUGCGUAGAGAUCUGGAGGAAUACCGGUGGCGAAGGCGGCCCCUGGACAAAGACUGACGCUCAGGUGCGAAAGCGUGGGGAGCAAACAGGAUUAGAUACCCGUGGUAGUCCACGCCGUAAACGAUGUCGAUUUGGAGGUUGUGCCCUUGAGGCGUGGCUUCCGGAGCUAACGCGUUAAAUCGACCGCCUGGGGAGUACGGCCGCAAGGUUAAAACUCAAAUGAAUUGACGGGGGCCCGCACAAGCGGUGGAGCAUGUGGUUUAAUUCGAUGCAACGCGAAGAACCUUACCUGGUCUUGACAUCCACAGAACUUUCCAGAGAUGGAUUGGUGCCUUCGGGAACUGUGAGACAGGUGCUGCAUGGCUGUCGUCAGCUCGUGUUGUGAAAUGUUGGGUUAAGUCCCGCAACGAGCGCAACCCUUAUCCUUUGUUGCCAGCGGUUAGGCCGGGAACUCAAAGGAGACUGCCAGUGAUAAACUGGAGGAAGGUGGGGAUGACGUCAAGUCAUCAUGGCCCUUACGACCAGGGCUACACACGUGCUACAAUGGCAUAUACAAAGAGAAGCGACCUCGCGAGAGCAAGCGGACCUCAUAAAGUAUGUCGUAGUCCGGAUUGGAGUCUGCAACUCGACUCCAUGAAGUCGGAAUCGCUAGUAAUCGUAGAUCAGAAUGCUACGGUGAAUACGUUCCCGGGCCUUGUACACACCGCCCGUCACACCAUGGGAGUGGGUUGCAAAAGAAGUAGGUAGCUUAACCUUCGGGAGGGCGCUUACCACUUUGUGAUUCAUGACUGGGGUGAAGUCGUAACAAGGUAACCGUAGGGGAACCUGCGGUUGGAUCACCUCCUUACCUUAAAGAA